rnacentral:rRNA from 1 species
GGGGUAACGGCCUACCAAGGCGACGAUCAGUAGCCGGUCUGAGAGGAUGAACGGCCACAUUGGAACUGAGACACGGUCCAGACUCCUACGGGAGGCAGCAGUGGGGAAUCUUCCGCAAUGGGCGCAAGCCUGACGGAGCAACGCCGCGUGAGUGAAGAAGGGUUUCGACUCGUAAAGCUCUGUUGUCGGGGACGAACGUGGAGACGGCAAAUAGUCGUUUCCAAUGACGGUACCUGACGAGGAAGCCACGGCUAACUACGUGCCAGCAGCCGCGGUAAUACGUAGGUGGCGAGCGUUGUCCGGAAUUAUUGGGCGUAAAGGGAGCGCAGGCGGGAAGGUAAGUCUAUCUUAAAAGUGCGGGGCUCAACCCCGUGAGGGGAUGGAAACUAUCUUUCUUGAGUGCAGGAGAGGAAAGCGGAAUUCCUAGUGUAGCGGUGAAAUGCGUAGAUAUUAGGAGGAACACCAGUGGCGAAGGCGGCUUUCUGGACUGUAACUGACGCUGAGGCUCGAAAGCGUGGGGAGCGAACAGGAUUAGAUACCCUGGCAGUCCACGCCGUAAACGAUGAAUGCUAGGUGUAGGAGGUAUCGACCCCUCCUGUGCCGGAGUUAACGCAAUAAGCAUUCCGCCUGGGGAGUACGGCCGCAAGGCUGAAACUCAAAGGAAUUGACGGGGGCCCGCACAAGCGGUGGAGUAUGUGGUUUAAUUCGACGCAACGCGAAGAACCUUACCAGGGCUUGACAUUGAGUGAAAGGACAAGAGAUUGUCCCCUCUCUUCGGAGACACGAAAACAGGUGGUGCAUGGCUGUCGUCAGCUCGUGUCGUGAGAUGUUGGGUUAAGUCCCGCAACGAGCGCAACCCUUAUCCUUUGUUGCCAGCACGUUAUGUGGGAACUCAAAGGAGACUGCCGCGGACAACGCGGAGGAAGGCGGGGAUGACGUCAAGUCAUCAUGCCCCUUAUGUCCUGGGCUACACACGUACUACAAUGGGAUGGACAGAGAGCAGCGAAGCCGCGAGGCCAAGCGAACCCCAUAAACCAUCUCCCAGUUCGGAUUGCAGGCUGCAACCCGCCUGCAUGAAGUUGGAAUCGCUAGUAAUCGCAGGUCAGCAUACUGCGGUGAAUACGUUCCCGGGCCUUGUACACACCGCCCGUCACACCACGGAAGUCAUUCACACCCGAAGCCGGCAGGCUAACCUUUUGGAGGCAGCCGUCUAAGGUGGGGGCGAUGACUGGGGUGAAGUCGUAACAAGGUA